rnacentral:pre_miRNA from 8 species
UGGAGCGGGGGGGCAGGAGGGGCUCAGGGAGAUAGUGUGUGCUGCCCCUGGCCCUCUCUGCCCUUCCGUCCCCCGUUCCUGAAC